GUAGGGAAUAUUGGGCAAUGGUCGGAAGACUGACCCAGCCAUGCCGCGUGCAGGAAGACGGCCCUCUGGGUUGUAAACUGCUUUUAUCUGGGAAGAAAAAGGCCAUGCGUGGCAAAUUGCCGGUACCAGAUGAAUAAGCACCGGCUAACUCCGUGCCAGCAGCCGCGGUAAUACGGAGGGUGCGAGCGUUGUCCGGAUUUAUUGGGUUUAAAGGGUGCGUAGGCGGCUGAUUAAGUCAGCGGUGAAAGACUUCGGCUUAACCGGAGCAGUGCCGUUGAUACUGGUUGGCUUGAGUGUCGGAGGGGUACAUGGAAUUGAUGGUGUAGCGGUGAAAUGCAUAGAUACCAUCAGGAACACCGAUAGCGAAGGCAUUGUACUGGCCGACAACUGACGCUGAUGCACGAAAGUGUGGGGAUCGAACAGGAUUAGAAACUCCUGUAGUCC
rnacentral:rRNA from 1 species